CUCCGGCUUUUAUGUUUCAUGGCCCAGUAGACGGAUUUGAGUGGUUGAGGAUCUUCAGUGAGCGAUAUUCAGCGUCGACGACACCAACAACACUUCGAACAACGUCGACGACACCAACAACAGCAACAACACUUCGAAUAACGAAAGAAUCUUCAGCGAACGAACGAAUCUUCAGGUAACUUAUUUUUUUUCUUUUAUUUGUUUUUUUUCGCCUGUUUUAAUUUUCCGUAAUUUGUCAUUUUUUUCAGAAUUCAGAUCUUGUUUGAAGACCUCGUUUUUUCAUUUCCGUGAAUUUUUCGAAGAACUCGUUUUUUCAUCCUAAAAUCUCCAGAUGUGUUCGGAGUAUAACAACAAGAAGGAAGGUCAAGAUGUGAAGGAAGCUCCAACAUUUUUUUACUAUUAUUGAUAGAUUUGUUUUUAUGAAUUACUGUAAUAUAUAUGUUCUAAAAUUCGAAGCAUUUUCGUUUUUAUUUUUCCAGAUCUGGUCGAAUUUUUGUAUAGUAUUGUUAUUAGUUUUAUUUGAUUUUCAAUCCUCUAUCUCUACACAUUCAUUGUCCAAAUCUUGAGGCUGUUGAUUUUCAAGUUUGUAUUGUUAUUAGUUUUUUUUGUACAGUAUUCAUUUCCUUUUCAAUUACUGCAUUCGUUAUUGCUGAUUCAUGAUGGAAUUUGUGUAGAAUUUCCUGCAUUUGUU